rnacentral:rRNA from 1 species
CCAACUCCUACGGGAGGCAGCAGUGGGGAAUAUUGCACAAUGGGCGCAAGCCUGAUGCAGCGACGCCGCGUGAGGGAUGGAGGCCUUCGGGUUGUAAACCUCUUUCGCCAGUGAAGCAGGCCUGCUCCUUGUGGGUGGGUUGACGGUAGCUGGAUAAGAAGCGCCGGCUAACUACGUGCCAGCAGCCGCGGUAAUACGUAGGGCGCGAGCGUUGUCCGGAAUUAUUGGGCGUAAAGAGCUCGUAGGCGGCUGGUCGCGUCUGUCGUGAAAUCCUCUGGCUUAACUGGGGGCUUGCGGUGGGUACGGGCCGGCUUGAGUGCGGUAGGGGAGACUGGAACUCCUGGUGUAGCGGUGGAAUGCGCAGAUAUCAGGAAGAACACCGGUGGCGAAGGCGGGUCUCUGGGCCGUUACUGACGCUGAGGAGCGAAAGCGUGGGGAGCGAACAGGAUUAGAUACCCUGGUAGUCCACGCCGUAAACGUUGGGCACUAGGUGUGGGGGGCCUUUUCCGGGUCUUCCGCGCCGUAGCUAACGCAUUAAGUGCCCCGCCUGGGGAGUACGGCCGCAAGGCUAAAACUCAAAGGAAUUGACGGGGGCCCGCACAAG